CCCCAGGUCAGGCGGGGCUNCCCGCUGAAUUUAAGCAUANCAAUAAGCGGAGGAAAAGAAACUUACANGGAUUCCCCUNGUA
rnacentral:rRNA from 1 species